rnacentral:misc_RNA from 1 species
CCCCUACAUCUGCAAUUUAGGGUUUUCACAAAUUGAAAUGUGCAGGCCUAAUGGAAAACUCUGAAGCCUCCAAUUUCCUCACAAAUGCUGCCGAUACAAACCCUAAAUUAGGGUUUCAAUCCUCUUUCAAUGCUGAUUCAGAUUCUGAUCAGACUUUGGAACUAGGCAAAAAGCUAGAGCGGAAGCCUCUUUAUUUGACAGAGGCCGGGGUAGUGUUUGAGGAGGCUGCACCUGAUAUAGCAGUGGUGGAGAAAGUAUAUGAAAAACUGGAGAAGCAGCUUCAUUUGAAAGAGGAUGAGGAGGACAAACAUUCGAUUGAAAGGAACCAAGAUGACUACUUUAACAGUGUAGAGAGCAUUGAUGGAGAAGAACACAACAGGUAUGAUAAAGAGGAUAAUGAUAAUAAUGAUGAGAAGUUAGAUGAUGAAGCUGAGGAGAAGAAUGAGAGUAUUAAUGGUAACAGAAGGCAUCAGUAUCCAGUAAGACCUGAAGCUGAAGAUUGUGCCUUCUAUAUGAAAACUGGUACUUGCAAAUUUGGAUCCAAUUGCAAGUUCAAUCACCCUGUAAGAAGGAAAAGCCAGGCUACCAAGGAGAAGGUGAAGGAAAGGGAGGAAGCAGCAGAGAGAUCUGACCAGACAGAAUGCAAGUAUUACUUGAGGACAGGGGGUUGUAAGUAUGGAAAAGCUUGUAGAUAUAAUCACUCAAGAGCAAAAACUCCAGUGCUCCCUGCAAAAACAACAGUAUUCCCUGUUUUAGAACUUAACUUUCUGGGUCUGCCAAUCCGACUGGGAGAGAGAGAGUGCCCGUAUUAUAUGCGUAAUGGUUCCUGCAAGUAUGGAGUGAACUGCCGGUUUAAUCAUCCAGAUCCUACAGCUGCUGGAGGAAGUGACCCUCCUUCAGCAUUCAGUAAUGGUGGGGCUGCUGCUUUACAGAGUUCCUCACAAUCAAGUGUAGCAUCUUGGUCUUUACCAAGAGGACUAAAUGAGGCUGCCCCCUUUCCAAUUAUGUUUUCACCAACUCAAGGGGUUCCUUCACAAAAUCCUGAAUGGAAUGGAUAUCAGGCUCCUGCAUUUCCACCAGAGAGGAGGAGUAUACACCCAGGUUCAGCGUAUGUCAUAAGCAAUCCAGCUACAGAUACCAACGUCUAUGCGCAUCAGCAGCAGAUGACAUUCGAUGAAUAUCCAGAACGACCUGGACAACCAGAGUGCAGUUAUUAUUUGAAAACUGGAGGCUGUAAAUUCAAGUCUAAUUGCAAAUAUCAUCAUCCAAAGAAUCAGAUCCCGAAGUCACCUCCAUGUGCUCUUAGUGACAAGGGCCUGCCAUUGAGACCUGGUCAGCAUAUCUGUUCUUACUACAGCCGGUAUGGUAUUUGCAAGUUUGGGCCUGCUUGUAAAUUUGACCAUUCAAUACAACCAGCUUCAAUGACAGGGUCUGCUGAAGAUCAGGGUACCCCCUUCAGUGACUCUCUGGCUAAAGACGAGUCUAGGAUGUCUGAAACUGGAAAUCAAAGUGACACUGCUAUUCAGCAGCCUGAGUAAAAU